AUGAACGCUGGCGGCGUGCCUAAUACAUGCAAGUCGAGCAAACAGACGAGGAGCUUGCUCCUCUGACGUUAGCGGCGGACGGGUGAGUAACACGUGGAUAACCUACCUAUAAGACUGGGAUAACUUCGGGAAACCGGAGCUAAUACCGGAUAAUAUAUUGAACCGCAUGGUUCAAUAGUGAAAGACGGUUUUGCUGUCACUUAUAGAUGGAUCCGCGCCGCAUUAGCUAGUUGGUAAGGUAACGGCUUACCAAGGCAACGAUGCGUAGCCGACCUGAGAGGGUGAUCGGCCACACUGGAACUGAGACACGGUCCAGACUCCUACGGGAGGCAGCAGUAGGGAAUCUUCCGCAAUGGGCGAAAGCCUGACGGAGCAACGCCGCGUGAGUGAUGAAGGUCUUCGGAUCGUAAAACUCUGUUAUUAGGGAAGAACAAAUGUGUAAGUAACUAUGCACGUCUUGACGGUACCUAAUCAGAAAGCCACGGCUAACUACGUG
rnacentral:rRNA from 1 species